GACAGAGGGGGCAAGCGUUGCUCGGAAUUACUGGGCGUAAAGGGCGCGUAGGCGGGAUGCAAGUCGGUCGUGAAAGCCUUCGGCUCAACCGAAGAACGUCGGCCGAUACUGCCGUUCUUGAGGGAUGCAGAGGAGACUGGAAUUCCCGGUGUAGCGGUGAAAUGUGUAGAGAUCGGGAGGAACACCGGUGGCGAAGGCGGGUCUCUGGGCAUCUCCUGACGCUGAGGCGCGAAAGCGUGGGGAGCAAACGGG
rnacentral:rRNA from 1 species